rnacentral:rRNA from 1 species
GAUGAACGCUGGCGGCGUGCCUAAUACAUGCAAGUCGAGCGAACAGACGAGGAGCUUGCUCCUCUGACGUUAGCGGCGGACGGGUGAGUAACACGUGGAUAACCUACCUAUAAGACUGGGAUAACUUCGGGAAACCGGAGCUAAUACCGGAUAACAUAUUGAACCGCAUGGUUCAAUAGUGAAAGACGGUUUUGCUGUCACUUAUAGAUGGAUCCGCGCCGCAUUAGCUAGUUGGUAAGGUAACGGCUUACCAAGGCAACGAUGCGUAGCCGACCUGAGAGGGUGAUAGGCCACACUGGAACUGAGACACGGUCCAGACUCCUACGGGAGGCAGCAGUAGGGAAUCUUCCGCAAUGGGCGAAAGCCUGACGGAGCAACGCCGAGUGAGUGAAGAAGGUCUUCGGAUCGUAAAACUCUGUUAUUAGGGAAGAACAAAUGUGUAAGUAACUAUGCACGUCUUGACGGUACCUAAUCAGAAAGCCACGGCUAACUACGUG